UGGCUCAGUUGGUAGAGCAUGGCACUUGAAAUGCUAGGGUUGUGGGUUCAAUUCCCAC
rnacentral:tRNA from 1 species